GGCUUCAUAGUUCAGUUGGUUAGAGCAUCACACAAGCAUUGCAAAGUGACAGGCUCAAACCCUGUUGAAGUCC
rnacentral:tRNA from 1 species